CUGGCGGCGUGCCUAAUACAUGCAAGUCGAACGCACUCUCGUUUAGAUUGAAGGAGCUUGCUCCUGAUUGAUAAACAUUUGAGUGAGUGGCGGACGGGUGAGUAACACGUGGGUAACCUGCCCUAAAGUGGGGGAUAACAUUUGGAAACAGAUGCUAAUACCGCAUAAAACCUAACACCGCAUGGUGUAGGGUUGAAAGAUGGUUUCGGCUAUCACUUUAGGAUGGACCCGCGGUGCAUUAGUUAGUUGGUGAGGUAAAGGCUCACCAAGACCGUGAUGCAUAGCCGACCUGAGAGGGUAAUCGGCCACACUGGGACUGAGACACGGCCCAGACUCCUACGGGAGGCAGCAGUAGGGAAUCUUCCACAAUGGACGAAAGUCUGAUGGAGCAACGCCGCGUGAGUGAAGGAGGUUUUCGGAUCGUAAAACUCUGUUGUUGGAGAAGAAUGUAUCUGAUAGUAACUGAUCAGGUAGUGACGGUAUCCAACCAGAAAGCCACGGCUAACUACGUG
rnacentral:rRNA from 1 species